GAUGAAGAACGUAGCGAAAUGCGAUAAGUAAUGUGAAUUGCAGAAUUCAGUGAAUCAUCGAGUCUUUGAACGCACAUUGCGCCCCCUGGUAUUCCGGGGGGCAUGCCUGUCCGAGCGUCAUUGCUGCCCUCAAGCACGGCUUGUGUGUUGGGCCUCCGUCCUCCUCCCGGGGGACGGGCCCGAAAGGCAGCGGCGGCACCGCGUCCGGUCCUCGAGCGUAUGGGGCUUCGUCACCCGCUCUUGUAGGCUCGGCCGGCGCUUGCCGACACAUCAAUCUUUUUUCCAGGUUGACCUCGGAUCAGGUAGGGAUACCCGCUGAACUUAAGCAUAUCAAUAAGCGGAGGA
rnacentral:misc_RNA from 1 species